AUCACGUAAUUGGGCCUAAUCAUGCUUCUUAGGUAUGAUGUUUGAUUUUGAGUAAAUUCAUUUCGGAAUAUUAGAGCACUUCGUUUGGAGUCAAAUAGAUGAGAGAAGGAAAUUCGGGAGAGAAAAGAAUUAAAUUCGCAGUUAAAACAUAUCUCCUUUCUCUUCCACAUGGGCCCUGCAUGUGGCCCCACCACCCACCACUCCAAAUGAGCAGCCCCCACCUGCUCUCUCUCUCUCUCUCUCACCUCCCACUCCCGUGCUCCCCCACCCGAGCAAGCAAGGGAGCAGCUCCUCCCUUCCUCUCUCUAUCUCAAAGCUCUCUCCUUCUCCCCAAAAAUCUGACCUCAAGAGAAGGAAUCGAGGUGCGCAUGUGGUGUCUACACGUUUUCUAGCUCGAUUGAAACACGAGGAACACCGGAUUUCUUUCUCUCCCAAUCAUUUCACUCCAUUUCCUUCAUCAUCCAAUGGUCACUAACCUCCACAAGCACCGUGGGUGCUACCGGCG